GGUAUAACUGUAGGAGGAUCUGGAUGGCUUCAUCGUACUUUCUGAUGGCCAGGGAGAAGUUCCCGUUCUUCAGGACCUGGUUGCCAGACUCUUUCAGCAACUGGGCGUAAGUUGUGGGGUCCAUCCUGCGAGGAGACGGAGCUGCUCGACAAUGGACAACAUUAAUAAUCAGAACAUAAAUGUUAUUAAAGUGAGGGCUUAAUUGAAGAUCUCAGUUGAAGAACUCAAAUGAAGAACUCUUUAAGGGCUUAAUUGAAGAACUCAAACCCAAAACAUUUCUACUGUAUUUACAAAUACAAUAAAAACUAUCCAAGUCAGAA